rnacentral:rRNA from 1 species
GAGUUUGAUCCUGGCUCAGGAUGAACGCUGGCGGCGUGCUUAACACAUGCAAGUCGAACGGGAAUGCCACGCUGAUGCGAUUUCGGUCAAAUCAUGUGGCAUUCGAGUGGCGGACGGGUGAGUAACGCGUGGGUAACCUGCCUUACACAGGGGGAUAACACCUGGAAACAGGUGCUAAUACCGCAUAAGCGCACAGGGCCGCAUGGCCCGGUGUGAAAAACUCCGGUGGUGUAAGAUGGACCCGCGUCUGAUUAGCUUGUUGGCGGGGUAGGGGCCCACCAAGGCGACGAUCAGUAGCCGGCCUGAGAGGGUGGACGGCCACAUUGGGACUGAGACACGGCCCAAACUCCUACGGGAGGCAGCAGUGGGGGAUAUUGGACAAUGGGGGAAACCCUGAUCCAGCGACGCCGCGUGAGUGAAGAAGUAUUUCGGUAUGUAAAGCUCUGUCAGCAGGGAAGAAAGAAAUGACGGUACCUGACCAAGA